rnacentral:rRNA from 1 species
CCUACGGGAGGCAGCAGUAGGGAAUAUUGCUCAAUGGGGGAAACCCUGAAGCAGCAACGCCGCGUGGAGGAUGAAGGUUUUCGGAUUGUAAACUCCUUUUGUUAGAGAAGAUAAUGACGGUAUCUAACGAAUAAGCACCGGCUAACUCCGUGCCAGCAGCCGCGGUAAUACGGAGGGUGCAAGCGUUACUCGGAAUCACUGGGCGGAAAGAGCGCGUAGGCGGGAUAGCAAGUCAGAUGUGAAAUCCUAUGGCUUAACCAUAGAACUGCAUUUGAAACUGUUAUUCUAGAGUAUGGGAGAGGUAGGUGGAAUGCGUGGUGUAGGGGUAAAAUCCGUAGAGAUCAAGAGGAAUACUCAUUGCGAAGGCGACCUGCUAGAACAUAACUGACGCUGAUGCGCGAAAGCGUGGGGAGCAAACAGGAUUAGAUACCCCAGUAGUC